ensembl:lncRNA
GUAGCUCUGAUUUCUGUAGCUGCAGUGAAUAAUCCUGAAUGUUACAUUUAGGAAGCUGCAUGUAUAGAUAUGUAUAUCAAGUUUAUGUUAUCUCUGUUACAUUUUAGUCUUUGUCUUAUUAAAGUUAUAGGAAUGUCUUUUUUACCAAACUAAUAAAGUAUCAGAAUUGCAGAUAUGGAUAUAUAGUCAGAGGUGGGUAGUAACGAGCUACAUUUACUCCGUUACAUUUACUUGAGUAAGUUUUUGAAAAAAAUGUACUUUUUAAGUACCUUUUUUGCACGAUACUUUUUACUUUUACUGGAGUACAUUUAUAAAGAAGAAACGGUACUUUUACUCCGCCACAUUUGCAAAAUUCGACUCGUUACUUAAAAAAAAUAAAAAAAUAGUUUUAACACAUUAGAUAAGAUGCCGUCAGUGGAGUUUCCGGUAACUUUUUUACCAAUAAGACGUGGCCAUACAGUCACAAGACCAGUUUGAACCCGUGGCGGGCGGAGCGGCCCAAGCGUUUCAAAGUAGCGACACACGGGAAGAAGAAAUAUGAUGGCAGAGUCUAGGCUAGAGCCGAAGAGGAUGAACACCAUUGGCCUCACAUACAAAGAAUGUUUCGCUUAAAAGCAGCACAAAAGAACAGCUAUGUCUGCAGUGUCGGUGUCUUCAGUGAGAGCCAAAACAAACCAACUUUUCAGCGUUAAACAAAUCAGCUCGUAACCUGAUGAAACGGUCUCCACUUCAUCAGACAUCACCUAGACACAGAGCUGGAUGAGGCCAGCACAAACAGCAGCCUAACUGACGAAGAUGAUGGAUCCAUGGGGGUCAGGAAAGCCAGUAGCAGAGGAACUGGAGAGAUACCUUUCAUGUCCAUUCACUGGAGGUGUGGAGCUAUUGCAUGGCUUUCCUCAGAUCAAGAAGCUGUCGAUCAAAGUCAAUACAGCUCUUCCUGCAUCUGCAGCCUGUGAGAGACUUUUUAGUCAUGCAGGACUCCUGUUCACUGGCAAAUGGUCACAGCUUCACAGCAAGAACCUUGAGAGCAAACUGCUGCUGAAGCUGAAGCACCAUUUCACUGACUGAAGAAACAAUUUAUGGUAAAGUGAGCCAUACACAUAUGUACAUCCACAUAGUGGGAAUUUGUAUUUGUUUUUUAUAAUUAGUUUUACUCUGAUUUCAGUGUUUAUUUGUGAGUGUAGUUUUUACAUUUUUACAUACAACAUUGUGUUAAUCCACUGUCUAUACUUCAGGGUAUUUUAGUAUACAAAAUAAGUUUUGUUUGAAUGUCUAUUCUUGUGGAAUUUUAGCACAGAUGUUUUGGUUUUUUUUAAAUUCCUGCUGUCCGCCUUGGGAAUAAACUUUUCCUGAUUAUACCUGUUGCAUCUCUGUGUCAUUUGUUUCCGAUUUACUUAAUCCCUCCUUGUAUUUAAAAAAACCACCCCUAGUAUGACAUUCUGGCGCAUCAGCUGUAGUCUGUUAUGUUGAAGUUGCCUCGUUCUAAUGUUUUCUCUGAGGCUGCUGUAAAUGUGAAUAUAUUUACUGUGGGUUUUGCUUGAAAAAGCUUUACGUUGUGAAAAACUGAAAUCUUGAAAUUAGAAUUGUGCCUUAUUUUGUGGAUCUUUUUACAUAUAUUCCUUUUGAAAAUACUAAAAUUUGUAUAUUUAUUUUUGAUUGUCUGAUAGCAUUUAUUUAUAAAAUAAAUCGAACAUUUCAAACAGUUACUCGC